CUUCUCUGUCCAUGGGAUUUUCUAGGCAAAAGUACUGGAGUGGGUUGCCAUUUCCUUCUCCAGGGGAUCUUCCCGACCCAGAGAUUGAACCCAGAUCUCCCGCAUUGUAGGCAGAUGCUUUACCAUCUAUGCCACCAGGGAAGUCUGGUUAGGAAGGGUUGAUCCUAUUUUAGAGCUACUUCUUUAUAGAGAGUAUUCAUGAGGGAAGAAGAGGAAACCAUCAGGCUGACAGGCACUGAAUCCAAAAUCCUGAGAAAUCUACCAGACUAGAUGUUCUCACCGUAUUAAUAUUUUUCUCCCCAUUGUGAGUACCAGCUAGUUUUCAUAGUAUGUUUUGAGAUAAAAUUUCCCAUACAAUAAAUGCCAAGUUUUAUUUAACAAGCCAGCCAGUCAGCAUCUGGAAGCAAGUCUGCAGACAGAUUUCUAACUUCCAGGAAUUCUGUUGAGGAUUGAAUGUUUCUAUAGCAACAUUUUGUUGUGGCAUAAACCAAGUCUGAAGAAUGCUGCAGGGUUUGCUUCUGUAAUGUGUUUCUUUUAUCUCUGUACCAUCCAUUAGAGUCUUAAGAUUUUAUAUAUGAUAUAUAUGCCUGCUUUAAUAGUAUUUUCUAACAUUAUUCCCACGUGAAAACUCACAGAAUAGAAACUCAAAUCUGUCAAAGGAUUUUGCAAGAAAGAACUCUGUGAAGAAAUGACUAUUCCUCAUUGAAAGCUGUAAAUUUCUCCGCAAGGGGAUCUUUUUGACCCAGGGAUUGAGCCCAGGUCUCCUGGAUUUCAGGCAGAUUCUUUACCAUCGGAACCACCAGGGAAGCCACAGGGUUAAAGCAGCUUACAAAUGAGGUGUUCCAGAAAUGCAUCUGAGGAAUGUCAAUGAAGAAACAUGAGUCUCCUCUCAGCUCAGCUCCUCAGGCUGGACCAGCUUGCCCUUUAUCCCUUAAGAACCCAGGGAUCAAGCCACACUUUUCUCCUGCCUGCUGCCGAAUUCUACCUGGAUUUCUCUCAAGACUUAAGAAGCAAUACAGUAAUUUCUCAGUUUACACAAUAGUUAGGUUCCUAUGGGCAUAGGUUAACUUGUAAAUACUUAAUCUAAGAAAUAAUUUUCUCUUAAUAAAAGGCAAGGGAUAUGUUCUAGAAGUUAGUUUUUUUCCUGUUUCAUAUUAAUUGGAAGGAUAAACAGUUAAUGGAAAAAGGUUAAUUGUAUAAGAGUGACCAAAAAGAAAUCAUUAAUAAUAAUGUCUAAUUGAAUUAUAGACUACGUGAACUGACAAACAGUGGCUGCCUGUUAAAUGCCUCCACGUGGCAAUUCUUACAUGUGAAGUCUUUGUCCACGUUUUGGAAGUGAUGUCCAAGUUUUGCACUUUCUUUAAUCUUGGGAGGAUUUUAAUGAACUAAUCUGAAUCUAUCAAUACCUGUAUUUCACUCACCUUUUGUAAGACAGUCUGACAACUUCCAAUUUCACAUAGACAAGUUUUCG
ensembl:lncRNA